AUUCCAGUGGAAAUCUAUUGAAGUGUCCGGCUGCAGCAACUCUCUGUUUAAACGGCGUGGGCUGAUUUUGAAACUGACUGUAUGCAUGCUGAACCUCUCUACCAAGGCAAGAUGACACCAUUUUCUAAGAAUAUGGUUUCUGUCCCUCUCUGGAUACCAGUCGUAAUCCUUUUUGUUUCUCUUUGUGAUGGUGGCAAAAUCUUGGUGGUACCUUUGGAGGGAAGUCACUGGGUGAACAUGGACAUCCUCAUCAAGGCUUUACAUGGUCAAGGACACAGCAUUGAUGUAUUACGCACCUCUAAUAGCUGGUUCAUCAAGGAGAAUUCAGCUUAUUAUGGCUCUAUAACCAUACCUAACACCAAAGGAAUGGAUGAAGAAUUUGUAGAAGAAAUGCUUUCCCAAGCAAUCAACUUUGAAAUUGGAAAGAGCAGCUGGCUGGGCUCUGUUUGGCUGUAUUUGGAUACACUUAAUUACACUUAUAAAAUGCAUGAAAUGAUAUGUCAGCUUAUAACAAACAUGUUUGAAAGUGAGGAAAUUAUGAAGACACUGAAGGAAAAGCAAUACGAUCUGGUGCUCACUGAUCCUGUAUGGGGUGCAGGCAUUUUCCUGGCUCAUAAAUUCAAGUUACCCAUGGUAUAUAAUGUGAGAUGGACCACUCCUGGAGAGGGACACUUUGAGAUUGCUCCCUCACCGCUGUCUUACAUCCCUAUCACAAGAUCUGGAAACACAGACAAAAUGAACUUUUUUCAACGAGUACAAAAUAGUUUCUAUUAUUUGCUAAUGUACUUUCAAUAUGGCUAUUUUAAUUUGGCACAGUACCAAGCACUUUGUGACAAAUAUUUCUAUCCACCUGUAAGCUUUUAUGAACUUCUCCAGGGGGCUGAUAUAUGGCUUAUGAGGGUUGAUUUUGUUUUUGAAUUUCCACGUCCAACAAUGCCAAAUAUCAUCUACGUUGGUGGUUUCCAGUGCAAACCAGCAAAGGCCCUUCCACAUGACCUGGAAGUCUUCGUGCAAAGUUCUGGAGAGCAUGGAGUCGUUAUCAUGUCUUUAGGGUCAUUUAUCAGUGUCUUACCAGAUGAGAUAACAGCAGAAAUAGCGGCUGCUUUUGCUCGGCUCCCUCAAAAGGUGAUUUGGAGAUACACUGGAAAAAGGCCAUCUACUUUGGGCAACAACACAUUGCUGGUUGACUGGAUGCCACAGAAUGAUCUUCUAGGGCAUCCAAAGACUAAAGUUUUUAUUGCACAUGGUGGAACUAAUGGGGUUCAAGAAGCUUUGUACCAUGGGAUUCCAGUGAUUGGAAUUCCACUGUUUUUUGACCAGUACGACAAUCUUGUUAGAUUGCAAGACAGGGGAGGAGCCAAGAUAGUUACCAUCGCAACUUUAAAUAAAAACACACUGCACGCGGCCAUACAAGAAGUAAUCAGUGAGCCAUCCUACAGACUGAGUGUGCAGAGACUCUCUCAUCUGCACAGAGACACGCCGGUUAAACCUUUGGACAGCGCCCUCUUCUGGAUUGAGUUUGUAAUGAGACACAAAGGUGCUGCUCACCUUCGUUCAGAAUCCUAUAAACUGCCUUGGUACUCCUAUUACUCAGUAGAUGUUGCAGUUACAUUGUUCGCAGUUGUUUUGAUAAUCACUUUCUCCAUAUUUUUCACAGUUAGAUAUAUGUGUGUCAAGUGCUGCAGCAGAAAAAGGAAAACUGAAUGACACGUUUCCAUAUGAAGUAGAUUAUUCUUGCAUGUAUGUCCCACUCAUGCUCAUGUAAUGAGCAGCACACUGAACUUGGUACAACAAUUAAUAAUGACAUGUAGAAUCUGGCCCGAAAACUAAAUAUCCUGACCUUUUCGAGUCAGAUUUAACAUAAUGUCAUUAUUAAUCAUUGUACCAAGUUCAGUGUGUUGUUCAUUACAUAAGUAGUAAAGAAUGGGUCAUAUAUGCACUUACGGUCAAACUGCUAAAUGAGUAAAUGUAAAUGUCUCUUUUAGAAAGCAGGUAUGGUAACUCUAUUGCAAAAGAAUCAGAAAUGUAUCAAAAUCUCAGACAAUUCAGACUUUCAGACUAAAUUUUA